GAUGAACGCUGGCGGCGUGCCUAAUACAUGCAAGUCGAGCGAACAGACGAGGAGCUUGCUCCUCUGACGUUAGCGGCGGACGGGUGAGUAACACGUGGAUAACCUACCUAUAAGACUGGGAUAACUUCGGGAAACCGGAGCUAAUACCGGAUAAUAUAUUGAACCGCAUGGUUCAAUAGUGAAAGACGGUUUUGCUGUCACUUAUAGAUGGAUCCGCGCCGCAUUAGCUAGUUGGUAAGGUAACGGCUUACCAAGGCGACGAUGCGUAGCCGACCUGAGAGGGUGAUCGGGCACACUGGAACUGAGACACGGUCCAGACUCCUACGGGAGGCAGCAGUAGGGAAUCUUCCGCAAUGGGCGAAAGCCUGACGGAGCAACGCCGCGUGAGUGAUGAAGGUCUUCGGAUCUUAAAACUCUGUUAUUAGGGAAGAACAAAUGUGUAAGUAACUAUGCACGUCUUGACGGUACCUAAUCAGAAAGCCACGGCUAACUACGUG
rnacentral:rRNA from 1 species